UAUAAAAUGUUGUAACCUUGCAUAAAGAAUUUUGAUUUCUUAGGUAAUAGUCAAUUCUAUUUUUUAUAA
rnacentral:tRNA from 1 species